GUGCAUUUGAAUGUCCAUGAAGGCAAUGCAUUGGGGAUGACAGAAAGUAUGAAGCACGUAUGUUUGCAGGUCUGGGAGAAUAACUAACAUCUACUAAAGUACUUGAUCUCACUUAAGCUUUUCAUCAAUCAUCUAAAGAGUCACUGUCUGUUUUGCAGAUGUGGGUCUGAGGCUCAGGGAGACUAAGGAACUAGUAGUCCUAUUCUUGGACUGCCAAAAUGCCACUAUCUGCAGCUGCAGGGGGUGGGGUGGGGUGGGAAUGGGCUGCAGCCAGUGACCCUCUCUCAGGUUCAGGCUGUCUACACCCAUCAUCUAAGUGGUCGUUUCCGGAGCAGGAGGUGCAGAGGCCAAGGAGGAAAUCCCCGGGUGGGGAGUGUACUGCGGCCUUCCAGGAAUUAUGAAACUUGAUCCCACAGGCUAGGAACCCUAGCACAGUGGAAGUCAAAGCAGGGGGGAAUCCCAAACUCAGCGCUGGGGGAGGGGUGCGUUAAGAACCUGAGGUUGGCCAGAGGUUGGCCAGAGGUUGCUACAAGUAUGUCCUCAACAUCACCCUCCACCCCCACUUGGGCUGGACUCCCACGAGGAGGGACUGACUCCCACGCUGUUUGGCUGCUGGUAUCCAAUUUCUGGCCAUUGCUGAUGCAAGACAAGAGAGGCUGAAAACACUCUGCCUUCUGACUCCACAGCAAGGAAGAUCCCUGUAGCUCAACAAAUUCCACCAAGCCCUUCAGGGAGCCUGAGAAGCAUCUAAGUAACCAGUUUCUCAACAUCUCUCUCAAGAUACUACCUUCUCUUGGGAAAAGUCGUUAAUUGGGUAACAUUAUCCAUCUCAG